GACAGAGGGUGCAAACGUUGUUCGGAAUUACUGGGCGUAAAGCGCGUGUAGGCGGCUUCGCAAGUCAGAUGUGAAAUCCCACGGCUCAACCGUGGAAGUGCAUUCGAAACUGCAAGGCUAGAGCCUGGAGAGGAAGGUGGAAUGCUUGGUGUAGAGGUGAAAUUCGUAGAUAUCAAGCAGAACACCUGCGGCGAAGGCGGCCUUCUGGACGAUGACUGACGCUGAGACGCGAAAGCGUGGGGAGCAAACAGG
rnacentral:rRNA from 1 species